AAACCAUUCGAGACGCGGGUGGAAGCCCGCGGCUCGGUCUUGGGCAUGAGGGAUCGAAACCCUCGGCCUGCAAUCCAACGGCAGACUCCCUGCGUAGCAGUAGCGUGAUAGAAUCGUCAAUCGCUAAUGCGCGACGGCGACGUCUAGCCAUAACCCCCAAAUCUGUCAUAGA
rnacentral:misc_RNA from 1 species